GGGGCCCAGACGUAGGCUUGGAGACAAGGGACUUGCGGCUGCAACCCAUAGGGCUGUCUCCCUUCCCGGAGUCGCCUCCGCUGCGCGUCCAAGCGCCCCGCGGUGCGCAGGGGCCGACGACACUUCACGCGGGCCCCGGAGCCCGAGGCCCCAGGGGACUGGGGCCAGAACAGCUCUGGGCCUGCAGCCCCAUGCGCUCCGCGCGCCCAGGGCCGCGUGCGUCUCUCUGAGGACUUGCAGAGAAAUGCAGCGCUCUGGGAGGGAACGAGGGCGCCCCGAGGGAGGUGCUGUGUCCCUUGGGGCGGGAUUGGGGCCCAGGAGCCAGGUCUGGCCGCACUCCUUGCCUAGCGGCUCUAAGGACCAUCCGGAAUAAAGACUGGCUCCCUUUCCCCCUGGGCUGGGUCAUAUUGAGGGGGAAAUCUCCGGACGCCAAGAGCUGGCACCCAGGGCCUCUCAGAUCUGAAGUCUCCACAGCCAGGGCUCCAUGCCUGAUGCGCUCUGUCUCCUCCGGGCAGGUGGGGUUCUUCCAGCUGCCAGAGAAGUGGGUCAAGGGAAGGCCUCUGCCUGUGCCCUCAUCCAAGCCCUGUGGGGGUGAGAAAGGCUCUGACCCCUUUAUAGUGUCCUUGUUGCCUCCUCACGGAAGGAGGAAGUGACGAAGCCUCUCCAGGAUGCCACAGUGCCCGUUCUGGUCUCCUUUUCCCAAGGGAGACACGCAAAAAGCAGCCUGCUGGACCCUCCGAGUAGCAAGGGGCCACCAACAACUUGCUGAUGGACAAACAGAAAACGUGGCGAAUGAAGAGCACAAACCGGCAGUCGCCAUCCCCGUGGGAAGUAGCAGACACCACAGACGAGGGUGACUGAACUGCCUGUGAUCCCCGUUUCUUCACUGCCCGGCACCAGCAUUCCACAUCUGCCUCCGCGCCCCGGGCCUCUGGGUGAGUGGGAUAUACUCCUCACCUUGACUUUGGACUUGGCAGUGUGACUCCUUUGGCCAACAGGUGUUUGGCGGGCGUGAAGGGAGCGGGGGCUCCGAAUGCAGUGGCACGGUCAGCCUUGUUCAGCAGAAGACUGCCCGUGGAGGAGUGAAGGGCGGACGGCCGUGCGCCGACGGGAAGCUCCCGGUCCAAGGAGCACGAGGGAGGCCCAGAGCAGGCCUGGACCCACCCCGCAGCGGCCCUUGGCUCUGGGAGAGUGGGCAUCAGUGAUGGUUGCUUUGCCAUGGAACUUUGGAGUGGUUUGUUAUGCAGCAUUGCUGUGGCAACAGCUGACUAACACGCCCGUCCUAACUAAUACAGAGAUGGGUGCCCAGGGAGCGGGUGUGACAAAGCCCUAAAAUAUGUGCUGUUGGCUUCGUGGCUGGCUCGUGGACGACAGGGAAACGGAUACGGUGAGCUGGAAUUAAUAACACUCUUCCCUCGUUAUGUCGCAGCAACAUUUGGAAAACUGGGGCCGCAAUACACAACGGCCCGGGUGCGAGUGCCUGCUGGCAGGUCCCGGGUGCUUCGCCGUGACGUUACCAGAAAGCGAGGGCCAGCUUGCACUCAGAGAGGCCUGGAGACCCGGGACCCACACGUUGGAAGAGCCAAGUGCUUAUUCCUCAAACGGUGGGAGAGCCGACUGAUGUCGCCCAGGGCCCUCCCGUGAAGACAGUUCAGCCAAAAGGCAGUG